rnacentral:rRNA from 1 species
GACGAACGCUGGCGGCGUGCCUAAUACAUGCAAGUUGAGCGAUGAAGAUUGGUGCUUGCACCAAUUUGAAGAGCAGCGAACGGGUGAGUAACGCGUGGGGAAUCUGCCUUUGAGCGGGGGACAACAUUUGGAAACGAAUGCUAAUACCGCAUAACAACUUUAAACAUAAGUUUUAAGUUUGAAAGAUGCAAUUGCAUCACUCAAAGAUGAUCCCGCGUUGUAUUAGCUAGUUGGUGAGGUAAAGGCUCACCAAGGCGAUGAUACAUAGCCGACCUGAGAGGGUGAUCGGCCACAUUGGGACUGAGACACGGCCCAAACUCCUACGGGAGGCAGCAGUAGGGAAUUUUCGGCAAUGGACGAAAGUCUGACCGAGCAACGCCGCGUGAGUGAAGAAGGUUUUCGGAUCGUAAAACUCUGUUGGUAGAGAAGAACGUUGGUGAGAGUGGAAAGCUCAUCAAGUGACGGUAACUACCCAGAAAGGGACGGCUAACUACGUG